rnacentral:rRNA from 1 species
GAUGAACGCUAGCGAUAGGCUUAACACAUGCAAGUCGAGGGGCAGCAUGGUCUUAGCUUGCUAAGACUGAUGGCGACCGGCGCACGGGUGCGUAACGCGUAUGCAACUUGCCUCACAGAGGGGGAUAACCCGUCGAAAGACGGACUAAUACCGCGUACACUUGGGAUAGGGCAUCCUGACCCAAGGAAAUGAAAUUCGCUGUGAGAUAGGCAUGCGUCCCAUUAGCUAGUUGGUGAGGUAACGGCUCACCAAGGCGACGAUGGGUAGGGGAACUGAGAGGUUGAACCCCCACACUGGUACUGAGACACGGACCAGACUCCUACGGGAGGCAGCAGUGAGGAAUAUUGGUCAAUGGGCGAGAGCCUGAACCAGCCAAGUCGCGUGAAGGAUGACUGUCUUAUGGAUUGUAAACUUCCUUUAUACGGGAAUAACAAGAGUCACGUGUGGCUCCCUGCAUGUACCGUAUGAAUAAGCAUCGGCUAACUCCGUG